rnacentral:rRNA from 1 species
UGGGGAAUCUUGGACAAUGGGCGCAAGCCUGAUCCAGCCAUGCCGCGUGGAUGAUGAAGGCCUUAGGGUUGUAAAAUCCUUUUCGUUGGGGACGAUAAUGACGGUACCCAAAGAAGAAGCUCCGGCUAACUUCGUGCCAGCAGCCGCGGUAAUACGAAGGGGGCUAGCGUUGUUCGGAUUUACUGGGCGUAAAGCGCGUGUAGGCGGAUUUGUAAGUUGGGGGUGAAAUCCCGAGGCUCAACCUCGGAACUGCCUCCAAAACUACAAGUCUGGACCUAAGUAGAGGCAAGUGGAAUUGCGAGUGUAGAGGUGAAAUUCGUAGAUAUUCGCAGGAACACCAGUGGCGAAGGCGACUUGCUGGACUUAUGGUGACGCUGAGACGCGAAAGCGUGGGGAGCAAACAGGAUUAGAUACCCUUGUAGUCCCUGAGCGGGCUGGCAAGGCGCAU